AGCGAACGCUGGCGGCAGGCUUAACACAUGCAAGUCGAGCGGGCAUAGCAAUAUGUCAGCGGCAGACGGGUGAGUAACGCGUGGGAACGUACCUUUUGGUUCGGAACAACACAGGGAAACUUGUGCUAAUACCGGAUAAGCCCUUACGGGGAAAGAUUUAUCGCCGAAAGAUCGGCCCGCGUCUGAUUAGCUAGUUGGUGAGGUAAUGGCCCACCAAGGCGACGAUCAGUAGCUGGUCUGAGAGGAUGAUCAGCCACAUUGGGACUGGGACACGGCCCAAACUCCUACGGGAGGCAGCAGUGGGGAAUAUUGGACAAUGGGCGCAAGCCUGAUCCAGCCAUGCCGCGUGAGUGAUGAAGGCCCUAGGGUUGUAAAGCUCUUUUGUGCGGGAAGAUAAUGACGGUACCGCAAGAAUAAGCCCCGGCUAACUUCGUACCAGCCGCCGCCGUAA
rnacentral:rRNA from 1 species